rnacentral:ncRNA from 2 species
AACGUGCUCCGGGGUCGGUGUGAAUCCGAACCGGCGGUGACAGUCCGCGAGCCCGCUCCGUCCGCAAGACGGCGAGGGUUGAUCCGGUGGAAAUCCGGGACCGACGGUGAUGCGCCUCUUGUACAGAGGUCGCUAGUCCGGAUGGGAGGCAGCACGGU